rnacentral:rRNA from 1 species
UGGGGGAUAUUGCGCAAUGGGGGAAACCCUGACGCAGCAACGCCGCGUGAAGGAAGAAGGCCUUCGGGUCGUAAACUUUUGUCCUCAGGGAAGAAGAACUGACGGUACCUGAGGAGGAAGCCACGGCUAACUACGUGCCAGCAGCCGCGGUAAUACGUAGGUGGCGAGCGUUGUCCGGAUUUACUGGGUGUAAAGGGCGUGUAGGCGGGAUGGCAAGUCAGGUGUGAAAUACCAAGGCUUAACCUUGGGGGUGCACUUGAAACUGCUGUUCUUGAGUGUCGGAGAGGAAAGCGGAAUUCCUAGUGUAGCGGUGAAAUGCGUAGAUAUUAGGAGGAACACCAGUGGCGAAGGCGGCUUUCUGGACGAUAACUGACGCUGAGGCGCGAAAGCGUGGGGAGCA